UUUAUGCCAAUCCCUAAAUUCUUGAAAACAUGAGUUUACAAUGAAAACACUAACAGAUGCUCAGUGGUAGAAAGCAGAGGAGUGGUUGCCAUGGAAUCAGAUGGCAGGGAAGGUAGCUCACUUUUUAAACUCACUGGCAGCGAACACGUAGCACCAACAAGUGGACAGCAAUGCUGGCAGACAUUUAUCUCUGCACAGCACUUGGAAGGGCUGCGUGGAGGCUACUGCUGUGACCCAGCACUGGAAACUGGGAUAACCAGGGAAAAGCUGAGCAUCAGCAGCUCUACAGACAUUGACAACAGAAAGACCUAAAAAAUGCAAGGAAAUGCAGAAUAAGUUGAAGCGAGGAAACAAAAAGGGAUAUUUGUGUCUUUAAACAUUUUUCAACCGUAUUUUUGACCCAGGAUUUUAUAAAGAAGUAAGCAUAUU
rnacentral:lncRNA from 1 species